rnacentral:rRNA from 1 species
AACGAACGCUGGCGGCAUGCCUAACACAUGCAAGUCGAACGAGACCUUCGGGUCUAGUGGCGCACGGGUGCGUAACGCGUGGGAACCUGCCUUUAGGUUCGGAAUAACUCAGAGAAAUUUGAGCUAAUACCGGAUGAUGUCUUCGGCCCAAAGAUUUAUCGCCUUUAGAUGGGCCCGCGUUGGAUUAGCUAGUUGGUGGGGUAAAGGCCUACCAAGGCGACGAUCCAUAGCUGGUCUGAGAGGAUGAUCAGCCACACUGGGACUGAGACACGGCCCAGACUCCUACGGGAGGCAGCAGUGGGGAAUAUUGGAAAAUGGGCGAAAGCCUGAGCCAGCAAUGCCGCGUGAGUGAUGAAGGCCUUAGGGUUGUAAAGCUCUUUUAACCGAGAUGAUAAUGACAGUAUCGGGAGAAUAAGCCCCGGCUAACUCCGUG